rnacentral:lncRNA from 1 species
AUCCAGCCAGAGCCGUUUCGUCGGCCCAGUGAAGCAUCCGAUCACCACCCGCUCAUAAGCCCAGGUCCGUGAAAAAUAUAUAAUGAUAAAUUGCUUCACCAGCUCACUCUCUCUCCCUUUCGUUUGAAUCUUUUCUUCUCCUCUCUCCUCUCCCUCUCCCACGCCUCCUUUCCUCUGUUAUUAGACCAUGGCGGAGAUUCAACGGUUUCCCGCC